UACGUAGGGGGCGAGCGUUGUCCGGAAUCAUUGGGCGUAAAGCGCGCGUAGGCGGCCCGGUAAGUCCGCUGUAAAAGUCCAGGGCUCAACCCUGGAAAGCCGGUGGAUACUGUCGGGCUCGAGUCCGGAAGAGGCGAGUGGAAUUCCUGGUGUAGCGGUGGAAUGCGCAGAUAUCAGGAGGGACACCGAUGGCGAAGGCAGCUCGCUGGGACGGUACUGACGCUGAGGCGCGAAAGCGUGGGGAGCGAACAGG
rnacentral:rRNA from 1 species